ACACGGUUAUUCAUGUAACCACCUAUCAGAUGAGAGGUUAGCUCUGUUUGCUCCGAUUCCAUCUGUCUGAGCUGGGGGUGGGGGGGGGCUCAUACACACACAUGCGCACACACACACCAACUGUAGACUGCCUCGUGCAAUUACAAAGUCAUGUGCAAGUGGAAGCUCACUUGCAUUUCAUUCCAAAGUGUGUCAUAAUACAUCCUAUUCAGAACAGAACCUUGGAUUAAGAAUAACAUCAUGGCAUUUAGUAAUUGACAAGGACGUGAUAGUGGUCACAUGCUCGUGUUGACAUUUUUCAGAGUACUACUAUUACCAUAAUUCCACCCUAUCAGUGGACAGCAGCAACUGUACAAUAGGCACCAAACAUGGCAAUAGGCACCAAACAUGGGCAAUUGGGCAUUGAAAGCAUUGAGCCCCCGUGGUUUAAACAACAGCAGGCACGGUUUGAAGCCCAACAUCCUUCCUCAUGUUUUAACUCUGUCCUGUGUGAUGUUUUUUUCAGGCUAUUACCAGAUUCUGUCUGCGUCCUAAAAUGGCUCCCUACUGACCUGGGCCCGUAUGGCUUUGGUCAAAAGUAGUGCACUAUACAGUAUAGCGAAUAAGGUGCCAUUGGGAAUGAACAAAAUGUCUCUCUCUUUGUGGGCAUAUGUCUGAUUUACCACAAUCGUCAUCGGCUCACAUAUUAGCCACAACGAGAACCAAACGAGCUUUACACCUUCUUAAACGAGACACAUGAGACUUGUUUUAUAUAUUUAUCUUUAGCGGCACUUCACAAACGGAAUAAUUAUUACUGUUUCUUCUCUCUUGUAUCUUGCACUUAACACAUGUAGCAAUACCUAUAGGACGGGGAAAACAGACGUGUGAUUCACCAGUAUUUGUGAAGUAUUUCAUUUUAUUACUGGUUUAUUGUUCCACUUUGUACAAAAUAUAUGCUGUACAGAUAUAACAAAUUAAAACGACAUCAAAAGUCUUUUAGAUAAACUUUAUUUAUUUUUACUGUUUUUGUAAUUUAGACACUAUACUGUAGCUCCUUUUUGGCCAGAAUUACUGAAAGUGCCUCUUGGUAUAAUGUAUUACAAAGUAAAUAUACAGUAUAUUGAGAUUAUUAGAAACUGUCACUAGCUGAACAAUGUGGAUGUUGUAAUGUGAAUACUGAAUAACAUGAGUUAAAUGCUGUGGUAAUUGUAUGUGUGGUCUCUUUGCCUCGACUUACAUUUAUUUUCUUCAUCAUCAUCUAUUUCAUAUAACUAUGUCAACAUGAAGUAUGUAAAUGCCUUUCAACUUCUCAGGUACGUCCUCAAGGUUACUGAUACAUUCAAUAUUUGAUUUGAUUUAUGCCUUCCCGGUAAGCCAACAGUCAUAGUUGAUUAGGGGUGGCAGGUGGCCUAGUUGUUAGAGUGUUGGGCCAGUAACUGAAAGAUUGCUGGAUCGAAUCCCCGAGCUGAGAAGUUUUUAAAAAUCGUUCCGCCUCUGAACAAGGCAGUUAACCCACUGUUCCCCGGUAGGCCAUCAUUGUAAAUAAGAAUUUGUUCUUAACUGACUUGCCUAGUUAAAUUAAUUAAUUUUUGGCAACAUCAUAGCAUACUAGUGAUAGUUUUGGCUUUUGAGCUUUAACUAUUAUGAAUCAUUAGUUCUAAAAGAGACAUGAGGGGUGCCAUAAUGAAGUUUGGGAGGGGCUGAGUGCAGGGAAAACGGUCACACGUGGCAGUAUUGAUAAAGGGAGGAACCGUUUAAGGCCCAUAUCUCUUAGCUCCCUGCCUAGCAAUAAGGAUGCAAUGUGUAGCGAUGAGGAGGAGACUCCGCCCAAGGUGGGGUAUGUAUACACUACCACGGGUGAGGAGGAGACUCCGCCCAAGGUGGGGUAUGUAUACACUACCACGGGUGAAACCAUGUCUUUGUCUAAUGCAGCUGUAUUGGCCCUCUGGGCAGAAUAAACUUGGUUUAAAGCUUG